UACGGGGGGGGCAAGCGUUGUUCGGAAUUACUGGGCGUAAAGGGUUCGUAGGUGGCCAACUAAGUCAGACGUGAAAUCCCUCGGCUUAACCGGGGAACUGCGUCUGAUACUGGUUGGCUUGAAUCCGGGAGAGGGAUGUGGAAUUCCAGGUGUAGCGGUGAAAUGCGUAGAUAUCUGGAGGAACACCGGUGGCGAAGGCGGCAUCCUGGACCGACAUUGACGCUGAGGAGCGAAAGCUAGGGGAGCAAACGGG
rnacentral:rRNA from 1 species